CUUUUUUUUCCUUCUCUCCCUCUCCCUAUCCCUUUUUCUUUCCUUCCCUUCUCCCUUUCCUCCCUCUCCCCUCUCUCUUCCUUCCUCCUUCUUUCUCCCUCUCUCUGUCGACUGCCUCUCCCUUCCUCUCUCUGUGCACGUUGUUCAAGCCAUCACCGGUACCGCCAGCGUGCUACCCACCUCGCUGUUGUCUUCCAGCAGCUCUCUCUCCCCCUCCCUCUUUCCCGUCGGCGCUGUCAAGAGAGGAGGUUGCCAUCAUCGGUUCAACCUUCUGUCGGCGUCCUUUCAGCGAUCCGACGCUGGAUUCGAACUGUCCACCUUCGAAAAGCCCCGGAAACGACCUCCCUUGACGCAAAAAUCUCCGCCGACAGCCUCGGGAAGCGUCAUCAGAGCAGCAUCUUUCCGGCCCUGAUCCAGUGCCUUCCAGUCACUUUCUAGCCGGAAUUCUUGUACUUUCGGACUCCCAUAACUUGAGCUUCAUGUAGGCGCUUUCGGAUUUGAUUUCCGACACCGGUGGCAGGACCAGCUUCCGGACUUCGGUGUUUUCCGAAUACGCAAAAUAUUACAAUUUCGACUCACUCCACCCGAUGGCAUAGGAGCGGACUGCAGAGCACGUCAGAACUGUGACAGUUAGCGUUCAUCACCGUCCUGCAUUGUGACAGUCCAACUUUUUUUUCAUCGGGUUUAUUGUAAAUAAUCUGUACUUUUAUAUUUUUAGUUAUUUUAUACUUUGGACCUUCCACAGUAGAGUACUUUUAAUUUAUAGUGAUUAUCUUGGUCCAUGAUGAACGUGGGAUGUUAUAAAGACUAGUUAGAAUUAUUUAUGGCAUGUCAGUCGUGAUUAAUGAUAUUU